rnacentral:lncRNA from 1 species
GGGAAUACAUAAUAAUGAAUUGAUUGAGUUUUGGGCCAAUAAAGUCUGUCAGAUAUGGUGGUUGCAUUUAUUUUUUUCAGUAGAGGUGGUUGCACAUUGAUAAAAAAUAUCAUUGAUAUUUUUAAGUGCUAAUUUCUGUUAAAUAAUGUGGUGCUUGUAUUUAUGGAACAAUCAUGUGUAACAUUUCCUCUGGAGUCAAAUUAAAAACUUUUAUUUUUGCAUACUUGCAAUAUCAUCAAAUUUGUCAUGUAGCCAAACGCAUAAUAUGAGGUAAUUUAAUUAAAAAAAUAAAUUACCUAUAAGAGUUACUUUAUCGUAUAACGGCGAGAUUUUUACUUCUUAUUUUUUGGGUUAUGUUUCUUUAACCUUUCCAAUUUAAUUUCAAACUUUUUCUAGGAUUUUAUUUUAAUUCAAUGUGUCACACAACACAAUGGAUCUAGUUAUGCACGUCCAAUUUUUUUUUUUUUUGUUAAAUAAGAGACUGAAUAUAUUUCACCCCCAAAAAAAAGGCAUAUUAACUUUUUGUAAAAAUUAAAGAUUGUUGUUAUAAUCACGUAUGCAAAUGUCCUACACAACAAAUAAUUAAGACAAAUCAUAGUAAUAUAUUCCUCGACAAUUAUUUGUUGAUCAUUUACUGGAAAGGCAUAAGGAGUUGGAAAGUUGGAAUGAAAAUGAAAGUGAUAGACAUGAUUUUUUAUUAUAUACAAGAAUAUGUGUGUUAGGUGGAAGAUUGUAUAGUUUAAUUAGUGAAUGAAAAAUGAAAGCGACAAUAUUUUUAUUUAUAAAUAUGUGUUAGGUGGAAGAUUGUAUAGUUUUAGCUAAAAAUCUAAGAGGUCCACACACACACACACCAUGCACUCCCUAUACAUAUAUUAAUAAUUAAAUUUAGAAUCUAGGGUUCAAGGGAACUACGAUAACAUAUCCCAGUCUAAAUUUUGGAGAUCUCUACAAUGUAGCAAAGAUUUCAUUUUCAUGAAAUAUUUAAUCUUGGGGUUCUAUAGUUCUUUAUAUUAGCAUUUAUACCCAGUGCAAUGCACG